rnacentral:rRNA from 1 species
AUGCAUGAGAGAGACCACGGCUGCUUGUGUGCUUCACCGGCAUUUUAUAUCAACUUUAACAUCAAGGAAUCAAGGAUGGAGAGAAAGAAUACAACGAAAAUAGACUCGUGUUUCAAGCCCAUUGUUUCUAGCUCAAACAUAGCUGAAAAUGCAAAUGCACCUGAGGAAAUAGCUGCAAAGGUCAUAUCUGAUGAGAUCAUCGACAUGUUCGACGUUGGUAAACAACUGAUGCGGAGCAUCCUACGGGCAUCACCAUGUCAAGAGUCCAUUUGGCAAGUGACACGUGCGACCUCUACUUCUCAUACAUAA